UACGGAGGGUGCAAGCGUUGUUCGGAAUUAUUGGGCGUAAAGGGCAGGUAGGUGGUCCCAAAAGUCUACUGUGAAAUCCCUCGGCUUAACCGGGGAACUGCGUCUGAUACUGGAUGGCUUGAGUUUGGGAGAGGGACGCGGAAUUCCAGGUGUAGCGGUGAAAUGCGUAGAUAUCUGGAGGAACACCGGUGGCGAAGGCGGCGUCCUGGACCAACACUGACACUGAUGAGCGAAAGCCAGGGGAGCAAACGGG
rnacentral:rRNA from 1 species